UAUUAUGGGUCUCAUGGCAUUUAGACCACACUCAUCAUUUAUUGUAUAUAUUUAAUUUUUACAUUUAUUGUUAUUUGUAUUAAUAUUUAUAUUUCAUUAUCAAAGUUAAUAUAACAGUGAUAUGAUUUAAUAUAAUAUUGUUGAUUGAUUAUUAUAAAUUGAGCUAUAUUAUUAAUGUUAAAAGUUCUUGUGUUUGUGUAUAAAUAUUGUAGCAGUGGAUGGUUUGAGGGAGGAUAUUGGAAGUGUUGUUUUAUAUGCAAGAACAUUAUUUUGCUUUUAUUAGUAGGUAUGAUAUGUCCUGUUAUAGAAGGUAUUCUGCUGAAAUUUUCUUAAUUAUUAAGUUUGUAUAAUGAAAUUUUUAAAUUUUAUUUUCCUAGUUUCAUUAUUACUU
rnacentral:misc_RNA from 1 species